CUUGAACAACGAUUCUUUCGUCAGAUUGUGUCUAGCGGGCGAACGGAAUGUCCUAGAAUCACGAUUCUUUCGUCAGAUUGUGUCUAGCGGGCGAACGGAAUGUCCUUGAACAACGAUUCUUUCGACAGAUUGUGUCUAGGGGGCGAACGGAAUGUCCUAGAAUCACGAUUCUUUCGUCAGAUUGU